GUGUGCUGUCGGAAUAUUGACACAACUGCAGUGGGUUGGUGUCAGUGACCUACAUUUUGAGUGUUCGUGUGCUAGUAAUGUUUUUAUUUGGUUUGUAAGUGACCUACAUGUUGUGGUUUAGUGUGUUAGUGACCUACAUGUAGGAUAGUGUCUAAAGUUUAGUUUUCUGUUGUUUCAGUUUCGCUCUGAGUCACAGAGGUCCGGACACACCAAACAAAUGAUUUACUGUCAUUAAACGGACACAACUAAAUGUACUGAGGUAAAAUUAACUGAACUGCGCACCUGGUUUCUACAAGAGCGGUAAGGUGUGCACCAAGUGUGAAGUGGGGACCUAUCAAGACAGAGAACAAGCAACUUUUUGCAUCACAUGUCCCAGAGGAACGACAACUGCGGGUAAGGGAGCUCAGUCAGUUACCCAGUGUGUCACCAACUCCUGCAUGUACUACCCUAUAGAGCUGGGCUACUGGGACUCGUGUCAAUACAAUCCAGACUCAGUAAAAGAGAAAGACUCCAACAUUGGGAUGAUCGUUGGUCUGACGCUUGGUCUGGUAGCUUUUGGUGCUCUUCUUGUCGUUUGCUUCAUCCUCAUCAAAAGAUACGUCUUUAAAAGUCACAAGCGCCCAACGAGUCCAAAAGUCUACCCGUAUGAAGUUUCGGCUAGCCGUGUCCAUCUGGAGACCUUGUCCCCACCCCCUGACUAUAACUCUCUGAUGGCUCAGGGCAGAAAACAUAUCUAAAUCAUCAAACUAACAUAUUAUUUUUACCACCAUGAUUUGUUUCUUAUGUAUAUUUUAUCCGCCUAACAUUCAAGUGACGAAUUAAAACAAGGUUUUUUUCUUGCAAUGAACAACUUUAAAUUAUUGGAACUUUAAUUUUUUAUUAUAAUAAUAUUAUAUGUAUUAGGUUUUAUACUAAUUUGUAAAAUUAAACUUUAGGUAUUUGCAUUGUUUUACAAGAAAAUAAACACAGACA